rnacentral:rRNA from 1 species
GUGGGGAAUCUUGCGCAAUGGGCGAAAGCCUGACGCAGCCAUGCCGCGUGAAUGAUGAAGGUCUUAGGAUUGUAAAAUUCUUUCACCGGGGACGAUAAUGACGGUACCCGGAGAAGAAGCCCCGGCUAACUUCGUGCCAGCAGCCGCGGUAAUACGAAGGGGGCUAGCGUUGCUCGGAAUUACUGGGCGUAAAGGGCGCGUAGGCGGGCAGUUUAGUCAGAGGUGAAAGCCCAGGGCUCAACCUUGGAAUUGCCUUUGAUACUGGCUGUCUUGAGUACGGGAGAGGUGAGUGGAACUCCGAGUGUAGAGGUGAAAUUCGUAAAUAUUCGGAAGAACACCAGUGGCGAAGGCGACUCACUGGCCCGUUACUGACGCUGAGGCGCGAAAGCGUGGGGAGCAAACAGGAUUAGAAACCCGGGUAGUCC